rnacentral:rRNA from 1 species
GUGCCAGCCGCCGCGGUAAUUCCAGCUCCAAUAGCGUAUAUUAAAGUCGUUGUGGUUAAAAAGCUCGUAGUUGAACCUUGGGCCUGGCUGGCCGGUCCGCCUCACCGCGUGCACUGGUCCGGCCGGGCCUUUCCCUCUGUGGAACCCCAUACCCUUCACUGGGCGUGGCGGGGAAACAGGACAUUUACUUUGAAAAAAUUAGAGUGCUCCAGGCAGGCCUAUGCUCGAAUACAUUAGCAUGGAAUAAUAAAAUAGGACGCGCGGUUCUAUUUUGUUGGUUUAUAGGACCGCCGUAAUGAUUAAUAGGGACAGUCGGGGGCAUCAGUAUUCAACUGUCAGAGGUGAAAUUCCUGGAUCAGUUGAAGACUAACUACUGCGAAAGCAUUUGCCAAGGAUGUUUUCAUUAAUCAGGAACGAAAGUUAGGGGAUCGAAGACGAUCAGAUACCGUCGUAGUCUUAACCAUAAACUAUGCCGACUAGGGAUCGGACGGUGUUAUUCAUGACCCGUUCGGCACCUUACGAGAAAUCAAAGUGCUUGGGCUCCAGGGGGAGUAUGGUCGCAAGGCUGAAACUUAAAGAAAUUGACGGAAGGGCACCACCAGGGGUGGAGCCUGCGGCCUAAUUUGACUCAACACGGGGAAACUCACCAGGUCCAGACACAUUAAGGAUUGACAGAUUGAGAGCUCUUUCUUGAUUUUGUGGGUGGUGGUGCAUGGCCGUUCUUAGUUGGUGGGGUGACUUGUCUGCUUAAUUGCGAUAACGAACGAGACCUUAACCUGCUAAAUAGCCCGCAUUGCUCCGGCAGUGCGCUGGCUUCUUAGAGGGACUUUCGGCUCAAGCCGAAGGAAGGUUGAAGCCAUA